GAUGAACGCUAGCUACAGGCUUAACACAUGCAAGUCGAGGGGAAACGACAUCGAAAGCUUGCUUUUGAUGGGCGUCGACCGGCGCACGGGUGAGUAACGCGUAUCCAACCUGCCCAUCACUUGGGGAUAACCUUGCGAAAGUAAGACUAAUACCCAAUGAUAUCUCUAGAAGACAUCUGAAAGAGAUUAAAGAUUUAUCGGUGAUGGAUGGGGAUGCGUCUGAUUAGCUUGUUGGCGGGGUAACGGCCCACCAAGGCAACGAUCAGUAGGGGUUCUGAGAGGAAGGUCCCCCACAUUGGAACUGAGACACGGUCCAAACUCCUACGGGAGGCAGCAGUGAGGAAUAUUGGUCAAUGGGCGAGAGCCUGAACCAGCCAAGUAGCGUGCAGGAAGACGGCCCUAUGGGUUGUAAACUGCUUUUAGAAGGGAAUAAAGUGAGAGUCGUGACUCUUUUUGUAUGUACCUGAUGAAUAAGGACCGGCUAAUUCCGUG
rnacentral:rRNA from 1 species